rnacentral:rRNA from 1 species
GCUGACGAGUGGCGGACGGGUGAGUAAUGUCUGGGAAACUGCCUGAUGGAGGGGGAUAACUACUGGAAACGGUAGCUAAUACCGCAUAAUGUCGCAAGACCAAAGAGGGGGACCUUCGGGCCUCUUGCCAUCGGAUGUGCCCAGAUGGGAUUAGCUAGUAGGUGGGGUAACGGCUCACCUAGGCGACGAUCCCUAGCUGGUCUGAGAGGAUGACCAGCCACACUGGAACUGAGACACGGUCCAGACUCCUACGGGAGGCAGCAGUGGGGAAUAUUGCACAAUGGGCGCAAGCCUGAUGCAGCCAUGCCGCGUGUAUGAAGAAGGCCUUCGGGUUGUAAAGUACUUUCAGCGGGGAGGAAGGCGAUGAGGUUAAUAACCUUGUCGAUUGACGUUACCCGCAGAAGAAGCACCGGCUAACUCCGUGCCAGCAGCCGCGGUAAUACGGAGGGUGCAAGCGUUAAUCGGAAUUACUGGGCGUAAAGCGCACGCAGGCGGUCUGUCAAGUCGGAUGUGAAAUCCCCGGGCUCAACCUGGGAACUGCAUUCGAAACUGGCAGGCUAGAGUCUUGUAGAGGGGGGUAGAAUUCCAGGUGUAGCGGUGAAAUGCGUAGAGAUCUGGAGGAAUACCGGUGGCGAAGGCGGCCCCCUGCACAAAGACUGACGCUCAGGUGCGAAAGCG